AGAGAACGGGAAGAGAGCGGCCUUGGGUGAGGCGUGUGCGUGCUGUGCAUGUGUGUCGCGUGGGAGGCACGUGUGGGCCGAGGCACGAGUGGAUGCGUGGAUGUGUGUGCGCGCGCGCGUGUUGCGUGCAAGGCGAGUGAGUGCGCCCACCCCUGCGCCCCUCUCCCCUCCUUACACCUUGAUCUUAUUUGAUCGGGCAGUGACCCCAGCCUCGCCGGGGCCGUCCCGAAAUGAAAAGCUCUCCUCCUGUGAAGCCCCCUCUCUGGGGGCGCUGUGCAGCGAGGCCCUUGGGCGGCGGCACCGCCGCGGUCCCCGAGGUCCCGGAGCUGGUCCGACGGGGCCGGCGCUCAGACGUGAUGAAUUGAUCAGAUAGACGAGGCUGGGCUUGUCCCGAGCUGCUGAUUAUCGAGGCAAUUCUGAUCUAA